rnacentral:rRNA from 1 species
AAGAGACAGCAGUAGCCACGGUAAAACGUAGGGUGCAAGCGUUAAUCGGAAUUACUGGGCGUAAAGCGUGCGCAGGCGGUUAUAUAAGACAGAUGUGAAAUCCCCGGGCUCAACCUGGGAACUGCAUUUGUGACUGUAUAGCUAGAGUACGGCAGAGGGGGAUGGAAUUCCGCGUGUAGCAGUGAAAUGCGUAGAUAUGCGGAGGAACACCGAUGGCGAAGGCAAUCCCCUGGGCCUGUACUGACGCUCAUGCACGAAAGCGUGGGGAGCAAACAGGAUUAGAUACCCGGGUAGUCCCUGUCUCUUAUAC